UACAGAGACUGCAAGCGUUAUUCGGAUUCACUGGGCGUAAAGGGUGCGCAGGCGGCCAAGUGUGUGAGGCGUGAAAGCCUGGGGCUUAACUCCAGAAUUGCACCUCAAACUACAUGGCUAGAGCAUUGGAGAGGGUAGCAGAAUUCACGGUGUAGCAGUGAAAUGCGUAGAUAUCGUGAGGAAUACCAGAGGCGAAGGCGGCUACCUGGACAAUUGCUGACGCUCAGGCACGAAAGCGUGGGGGAGCAAAAAGGG
rnacentral:rRNA from 1 species